GAUGAACGCUGGCGGCGUGCCUAACACAUGCAAGUCGAGCGAUCUUCUUCGGAAGAGAGCGGCGGACGGGUGAGUAACGCGUGGGUAACCUGCCCUGUACACACGGAUAACAUACCGAAGGUAUGCUAAUACGGGAUAAUAUGCUUUUAUCGCAUGGUAGAAGUAUCAAAGCUCCGGCGGUACAGGAUGGACCCGUGUCUGAUUAGCUAGUUGGUAAGGUAACGGCUUACCAAGGCGACGAUCAGUAGCCGACCUGAGAGGGUGAUCGGCCACAUUGGAACUGAGACACGGUCCAAACUCC
rnacentral:rRNA from 1 species